rnacentral:lncRNA from 1 species
UGAAGAUUAUAUCAUCAUCCUGCCUGAGUGCUUUGAUACCAGCCGCCCCCUGGGGGACUCCAUGUACAGCUCUGCGCUCUCCCAGCCAGGCCUGGAGCGAGGGGCUGAAGGUGAACCUGGGAUCGAGUCUGGGCAGGAACCAGCUGAGGCUAGAGAGAGACUCCCGGAAAGGGAGAGCCAGCCAAAGGAGCAGAGCAUCAGUGACAUCCUCACGACCUCACAGCAUCUGGACACAGUGCCUCUAGUCCCAGAAGUGGCAGGACUUCCAGCAGCACUGUCCAGGUACUGCUCAGCACCUCAGCCACCCUGUUCUCCAGAGCUGGAAUGACCAGCUUUACCUCAAACCUUUCUUUUUCUACAACCUAAACUUAGAUGAAUAAAAGUCAUAUUCAG